rnacentral:siRNA from 1 species
UGAUAAUUAUUGUUGUUGAGCCA